rnacentral:rRNA from 1 species
UACGGAGGGGGCUAGCGUUGUUCGGAAUUACUGGGCGUAAAGCGGGUGUAGGCGGAUUGCUAAGUCGGGGGUGAAAGCCCAGGGCUCAACCCUGGAAUUGCCUUCGAUACUGGCAGUCUCGAGUGCAGGAGAGGUGAGCGGAAUUCCGAGUGUAGAGGUGAAAUCCGUAGAUAUUCGGAGGAACACCAGAGGCGAAGGCGGCUCACUGGACUGUUACUGACGCUGAGACCCGAAAGCGUGGGGAGCAAACAGG